GGGCCUGUAGCGCAGCAUGGAUAGCGCGACUGCCUCCUAAGCAGUAGGUCGUGAGUUCAAAUCUCAUCAGGCCCG
rnacentral:tRNA from 1 species